CCUACGGGGGGCAGCAGUGGGGAAUAUUGGGCAAUGGGCGCAAGCCUGACCCAGCAACGCCGCGUGAAGGAAGAAGGCUUUCGGGUUGUAAACUUCUGUUCUGAGGGACGAAGAAAGUGACGGUACCUCAGGAAUAAGCCACGGCUAACUACGUGCCAGCAGCCGCGGUAAUACGUAGGUGGCAAGCGUUAUCCGGAUUGAUUGGGUGUAAAGGGCGUGUAGGCGGGAAAGCAAGUCAGAUGUGAAAUCUCAGGGCUCAACCCUGAGCCUGCAUUUGAAACUGUUUAUCUUGAGUGCUGGAGAGGAUAUCGGAAUUCCGUGUGUAGCGGUGAAAUGCGUAGAUAUACGGAGGAACACCAGUGGCGAAGGCGGAUUGCUGGACAGUAACUGACGCUGAGGCGCGAAAGCGUGGGGAGCAAACAGGAUUAGAUACCCGGGUAGUC
rnacentral:rRNA from 1 species